UACAGAGGGUGCAAGCGUUGUUCGGAAUCACUGGGCGUAAAGCGCGCGCAGGCGGAUGGUUGCGUCCGGAGUGAAAUUUCGCCGCUCAACGGCGAAGCUGCUUUGGAUACGGACCGUCUAGGGACCGGUAGAGGCUGGUAGAAUUGCAGGUGUAGCGGUGGAAUGCGUAGAGAUCUGCAAGAAUACCCGUGGCGAAGGCGGCCAGCUGGGCCGGAUCCGACGCUGAGGAGCGAAAGCGUGGGGAGCAAACAGG
rnacentral:rRNA from 1 species